UGCCGGCCACUGGCGCCGCGUCUGCAAGCCCGUGCACUUAGGGCCUAGCAGUGCUGGGCUUUUUUCCUGGGGCAUCUCUCUCCAUCCGCCCGCCAAGGGCCUGGGGCCCUAGCGAAGAGGACUGGGGAGACUUGGUCGGCCCGCACAAGGGCUGCUCAGGAAAAUGCACCCCUGGGCUUGUGAAAGGGAAGCUACUCUGUGCCCUGCUCCAACUGUCUCAAGAGAACCAGAACAGAGCUGGAGGUGACCAUGAGGCCUGGGCCCCAGGCAUCCCUAAGAGCAGAUGGGGGCUCCCAGACCAGGAACACCCACCCCCACUGCACCACACACAG
rnacentral:lncRNA from 1 species